rnacentral:lncRNA from 1 species
CACACCAGCUACCCCACACACUAUAGCUCCCAAAUAAAAAUCCAAAUCUCAACAACCAACAACCUCACUCCCUACCUCAUCUGAACCAAUACCUUAUAUACCAAUCCUUUCUGAACCAAACCCAUCAGAACCCACAACCUCUGACCUCAUCCCUCUCAGAACCAUCACACCUUCAUCUUUAUUACAUCUCUUCAACCUUCAAACAACAUUCAUCCCCCACUCUGAAGCCAUCAUGUUCA